UGCACACAGGUGCUGCAUGGCUGUCGUCAGCUCGUGUCGUGAGAUGUUGGGUAAGUCCCGCAACGAGCGCAACCCUUGUCCAUUAGUUGCUACGAAAGGGCACUCUAAUGGGGACUGCCGGUGACAAACCGGAGGAAGGUGGGGAUGACGUCAAGUCCUCAUGGCCCUUAUAGGUGGGGCUACACACGUCAUACAAUGGCCGGUACAGAGGGUAGCCAACCCGCGAGGGGGAGCCAAUCCCACAAAGCCGGUCGUAGUCCGGAUCGCAGUCUGCAACUCGACUGCGUGAAGUCGGAAUCGCUAGUAAUCGCGGAUCAGCAUGUCGCGGUGAAUACGUUCCCGGGUCUU
rnacentral:rRNA from 1 species